rnacentral:piRNA from 1 species
GGGCUAUGAUGCUGGAUUUUCUGAG